CGGGAGAAUCUGUUAAGCUCAGGAGGGAUAGCGCCAUGAGCAUGACAAAGUCUAUGUUUGAGUUAAUCUCAACAAAAUCAAUCCAGUCAUCAGUGGCGCUAUCUAUCCUGAGUUCUAUGGGUUCUCCUU
rfam:Populus trichocarpa scaffold_1_contig_336, whole genome shotgun sequence.